GACGAACGCUGGCGGCGUGCUUAACACAUGCAAGUCGAGCGGUAAGGCCCUUUCGGGGGUACACGAGCGGCGAACGGGUGAGUAACACGUGGGUGACCUGCCCUCAGCUCUGGGAUAAGCCUGGGGAAACUGGGUCUAAUACCGGAUAUGACUCCAUGACGCAUGUUGUGGGGUGGAAAGCCUUGUGCGGCUGAGGAUGGGCCCGCGGCCUAUCAGCUUGUUGGUGGGGUGANGGCCUACCAAGGCGACGACGGGUAGCCGGCCUGAGAGGGCGACCGGCCACACUGGGACUGAGACACGGCCCAGACUCCUACGGGAGGCAGCAGUGGGGAAUCUUGCGCAAUGGGCGAAAGCCUGACGCAGCGACGCCGCGUGAGGGAUGACGGCCU
rnacentral:rRNA from 1 species